UAGCUCAGACUUCUUUUCAUUCUCGCAUAGAUCUUUCGCCUUGUACUAAAGAUUUCUAUGGAGAGGAACGUUGUUGAGUUCAGCUUAUUUUUGUGGUCUUUGCUGUUGCAGAGAU